rnacentral:rRNA from 1 species
GAUGAACGCUAGCGGCAGGCCUAACACAUGCAAGUCGAGGGGCAUCGCGGUGCAGCAAUGCACUGGCGGCGACCGGCGUACGGGUGCGUAACGCGUAUGCAACCUGCCCCGCACCGGGGGAUAGCCCGCCGAAAGGCGGAUUAAUACCCCAUGGUCCCGGGGGCCCGCAUGGGCUACCGGGUAAAGCCUUGGCGGUGCGGGAUGGGCAUGCGUGCCAUUAGCUGGCUGGUGGGGUAACGGCCCACCAGGGCGACGAUGGCUAGGGGGUCUGAGAGGAUGGUCCCCCACACUGGUACUGAGACACGGACCAGACUCCUACGGGAGGCAGCAGUGAGGAAUAUUGGUCAAUGGGCGGAAGCCUGAACCAGCCAUGCCGCGUGCGGGAUGAAGGCCCUACGGGUUGUAAACCGCUUUUCCCCGGGAAGAAUAAGCCCCCCGCGGGGGGUGAUGCCGGUACCGGGGGAAUAAGGAUCGGCUAACUCCGUG